AUGAACGCUAGCGACAGGCUUAACACAUGCAAGUCGAGGGGCAGCACAGGGUAGCAAUACUUGGGUGGCGACCGGCGCACGGGUGAGUAACGCGUAUGCAACUUACCUAUCAGAGGGGGAUAGCCCGGCGAAAGUCGGAUUAAUACCCCAUGAAACAGGGGUCCCGCAUGGGAAUAUUUGUUAAAGAUUCAUCGCUGAUAGAUAGGCAUGCGUUCCAUUAGGCAGUUGGCGGGGUAACGGCCCACCAAACCGACGAUGGAUAGGGGUUCUGAGAGGAAGGUCCCCCACAUUGGUACUGAGACACGGACCAAACUCCUACGGGAGGCAGCAGUGAGGAAUAUUGGUCAAUGGCCGAGAGGCUGAACCAGCCAAGUCGCGUGAAGGAAGAAGGAUCUAUGGUUUGUAAACUUCUUUUAUAGGGGAAUAAAGUGGAGGACGUGUCCUUUUUUGUAUGUACCCUAUGAAUAAGCAUCGGCUAACUCCGUGCCAGCAGCCGCGGUAAUACGGAGGAUGCGAGCGUUAUCCGGAUUUAUUGGGUUUAAAGGGUGCGUAGGUGGUGAUUUAAGUCAGCGGUGAAAGUUUGUGGCUCAACCAUAAAAUUGCCGUUGAAACUGGGUUACUUGAGUGUGUUUGAGGUAGGCGGAAUGCGUGGUGUAGCGGUGAAAUGCAUAGAUAUCACGCAGAACUCCGAUUGCGAAGGCAGCUUACUAAACCAUAACUGACACUGAAGCACGAAAGCGUGGGGAUCAAACAGGAUUAGAUACCCUGGUAGUCCACGCAGUAAACGAUGAUUACUAGGAGUUUGCGAUACAAUGUAAGCUCUACAGCGAAAGCGUUAAGUAUUCCACCUGGGGAGUACGCCGGCAACGGUGAAACUCAAAGGAAUUGACGGGGGCCCGCACAAGCGGAGGAACAUGUGGUUUAAUUCGAUGAUACGCGAGGAACCUUACCCGGGUUUGAACGUAGUCUGACCGGAGUGGAAACACUUUUUCUAGCAAUAGCAGAUUACGAGGUGCUGCAUGGUUGUCGUCAGCUCGUGCCGUGAGGUGUCGGCUUAAGUGCCAUAACGAGCGCAACCCUUAUCACUAGUUACUAACAGGUGAAGCUGAGGACUCUGGUGAGACUGCCAGCGUAAGCUGUGAGGAAGGUGGGGAUGACGUCAAAUCAUCAUGCCCCUUAUGAUUUGGGCUACACACGUGCUACAAUGGCGUAAACAAAGGGAAGCGAACCUGCGAGGGUGGGCAAAUCCCAAAAAUAACGUCCCAGUUCGGACUGCAGGCUGCAACUCGCCUGCAUGAAGUCGGAAUUGCUAGUAAUCGCAGAUCAGCAUGCCGCGGUGAAUACGUUCCCGGGCCUUGUACACACCGCCCGUCACGCCAUGGGAGUCGGUAACACCCGAAGCCUGUAGUCUAACCGCAAGGAGGACGCAGUCGAAGGUGGGAUUGAUGACUGGGGUG
rnacentral:rRNA from 1 species